rnacentral:rRNA from 1 species
AAACCAACCGGGAUUGCCUUAGUAACGGCGAGUGAAGCGGCAAAAGCUCAAAUUUGAAAUCUGGUACCUUCGGUGCCCGAGUUGUAAUUUGUAGAAGGCAACUUUGGGGCUGGUCCUUGUCUAUGUUCCUUGGAACAGGACGUCAUAGAGGGUGAGAAUCCCGUGUGGCGAGGAUCCCAGUCCUAUGUAAAGUGCUUUCGAAGAGUCGAGUUGUUUGGGAAUGCAGCUCUAAGUGGGUGGUAAAUUCCAUCUAAAGCUAAAUAUUGGCGAGAGACCGAUAGCGAACAAGUACAGUGAUGGAAAGAUGAAAAGAACUUUGAAAAGAGAGUGAAAAAGUACGUGAAAUUGUUGAAAGGGAAGGGCAUUUGAUCAGACAUGGUGUUUUGCGCCCUCUGCUCCUCGUGGGUGGGGGAAUCUCGCAGCUCACUGGGCCAGCAUCAGUUUUGGCGGUAGGAUAAAUCUGCAGGAAUGUAGCUUGCUUCGGUAAGUGUUAUAGCCUGUUGAAAUACUGCCAGCCGGGACUGAGGACUGCGACUUUUAGUCAAGGAUGCUGGCAUAAUGGUUAUAUGCCGCC